UUGCCUGUGAUGGUUAAGAAUUUCUUCACCUGAACAAACCAUGUGGUCAUGCUGUGUCUGAGGCAAA